GCCCGGCGGCGGCCGGUGCUGCGGCGGCGGGGCAGGGCGAGGCGGCGGCGGCGGUGGAGGCGGCGGCCACCCCUUACGUGGGGCUGCGGCGGCCGCUGGGCUACAAGCUGGCCAAGGCCACCAAGGAGCGGAUCUGGCGGGGGGAGUUCAUUGACCUCUUUUCCUUGCUCCACACAGAGCUGGCCCCCGAGCACGGCCCGCGGCCGGGGGACACGCUGGACCAGUGGGUCUCGGCCUUCCUGGUGUACGCCAGCGUGCUGUGCGAGAAGCACCCGGCGCGCUGCGGAGCCAUGUUCAAGUACCUGGACACCAUCCGCAAGCUGCACGCCACCUACGGGGGCACCUCCUGGAUGAACUACGACGAGGACUUUCGGCGGCGGGCGGCCAAGGACCCCACCUUGCCCUGGGGGGACGUCGACCUGGACCUCUGGAUGAAGUGGAUGGCGCCCCUCAAGUCCCUGGUCGAGAGGCAGCUGCCGGGUGAGAGCGAGGCGCAGGCCUCGCCUGCCCCGCCGCCCCCAGCGCCACCAGCACCACCACCACCACCCUCCCAGAGCCCCAAGCAGGAGGAGAAAAGCCAGACUCCAUGAAAACAGAAGGCCAGUUGGGAUGGCAGUCAGACUAAGUGGCCUGACUCCGUUGGUGUUUAAGUGGAGCUCUGGUAUUCUAGUGCAUUCUUUUACCUCUGCUUCUGUUGCGUUGCAAGCUGUGCUAGAGAAGACGUAGGAAAUUCAUUUUACCCAAUCAGCAAUUGUAACAAUGGACUACAAACCUGCAGAGCAAGCCAGUUUGCUGGAAAACAGGAAUUCCUGCAGCGCAGCACUUGUCACAGACUAUCCAAAGAGGGCAAAGAUUCAGGAAGGUGAAUAAAUUGAACAUUGGUUGAAUGAGGUCA
rnacentral:lncRNA from 1 species